GUCGCCUUAGAUUCAGCCGAGUGUCCCAAAGUGGCAGAGAGCUGGAGAUGUCAACAGAUUGCGAUGCCUUCCGGUAGGGGCACAAUGCUCUGCGCUCAGCAGGGAGGACCAACAUCAACAGCUGUGAUAGAAUUGAUCAAUUCUUUGUGAAACCAAUUGUACUGAUAUCUCAGCUCUCCUGCUGUUAUUACCGGGAGAAACAGGAUGAUAAUCUGCUGCAAAAUCCCCAUGAUAGUGUGAA
rnacentral:lncRNA from 1 species